rnacentral:lncRNA from 1 species
UUAGAGUUUAGGGUUUAGGGUUUAGAUUUUAGGGUUUAGGGUUUAGGUUUAGGGUUUAGAGUUUAGGGUUUAGGGUUUAGGGUUUAGAGUUUAGGGUUUAGGGUUUAGAGUUUAGGGUUUAGGGUUUAGAGUUGAGAAAUGAGGUUUUGGGGAUAAGAUUUCAAAUUUUGAGAAAUAAAAAAAAUAAAAUUUUCAAAGGAUAAACUUAAAAAGGUGCUAUUUUGGUCAUUUUAGUUUUUGAGUGCUAUUUUUGUGAUAUAAACUUAGAAAUGUGUUAUUUUGGAGAUUUGCCCUUCUUUAUAUACUGAAGCCUAUAAUCUUUAGCAUUAUUUUAAAAUUUGUAACCACAUUCUAA